CGAGCCUGGCCGCCGGGCAGCGGCCACGCCCCCUCAGGUGCGCACCCCGCAACCGGAAGCCACUGUGUCCUAGGCGAGUGGGUCUGGGGCGUCGGGGUCAAAUGAGGUCACUGGCGGUUGACAACUCGGCUCACGGAGCCGCGCGAUUCCCGGGCUCAGAGGACUCGCAGGGCUGAAAAAUGGAUCCUUCUGGCCCAGCCACAAUCGGAGGCAGCCUAGCAACCUACCUUCCUUCCCAGCCUCCGCCCUGGCCCAGCCUGCCCAUUUCCCAGGUCUCGACCUUUACACCUUAAACCUCCGGACUCCCUGACACUUUCUAACUUCUCGGGGGGUGGUGAUGCCCCGAGACUGCAGCGAGCCCUAGGCCAGUCCAUUCCAAGUGUGGCCCCGACUCCUCAUGCAUCCCGCCUCCCUCGAAUAAAGUUCAGAUUCCAGAGCCUCGUCAAGCGA